GCCAGACUCCUACGGGAGGCAGCAGUGGGGAAUAUUGGGCAAUGGGCGCAAGCCUGACCCAGCAACGCCGCGUGAAGGAAGAAGGCUUUCGGGUUGUAAACUUCUUUUCUCAGGGACGAAGCAAGUGACGGUACCUGAGGAAUAAGCCACGGCUAACUACGUGCCAGCAGCCGCGGUAAUACGUAGGUGGCAAGCGUUAUCCGGAUUUACUGGGUGUAAAGGGCGUGUAGCCGGGCUGACAAGUCAGAUGUGAAAUCCGGGGGCUCGACCCCCGAACUGCAUUUGAAACUGUUGGUCUUGAGUAUCGGAGAGGCAGGCGGAAUUCCUAGUGUAGCGGUGAAAUGCGUAGAUAUUAGGAGGAACACCAGUGGCGAAGGCGUCUUACUGGACCGAAACUGACGUUGAGGCUCGAAAGCGUGGGGAGCAAACAGGAUUAGAUACCCUAGUA
rnacentral:rRNA from 1 species